AAAAGCUCAAAUUUAAAAUCUGGCGUCGGCCCGAGUUGUAGUCUGGAGAAGCGUUUUCCGCGGGACCGUGUAUAAGUCUCUUGGAACAGAGCGUCAUAGAGGGUGAGAAUCCCGUCUGACGGACUACCGUGCUUUGUGAUGCGCUCUCAAAGAGUCGAGUUGUUUGGGAAUGCAGCUCAAAAUGGGUGGUGAAUUCCAUCUAAAGCUAAAUAUUGGCGAGAGACCGAUAGCGAACAAGUACCGUGAGGGAAAGAUGAAAAGCACUUUGGAAAGAGAGUUAAACAGUACGUGAAAUUGCUGAAAGGGAAACGCUUGAAGUCAGUCGCGUGCUAGAACUCAACCUGGCUUUUGUUGGUGCACUUUCUGUACGGGCCAACAUCAGUUUUGGCUGCUGGAAAAAGGCCUUGGGAAUGUGACCUCCGGGUUGUUAUAGCCCAUGGUUGUAUACAGUGGCUGGACUGAGGACCGCAGACGCCGGGGUUCG
rnacentral:rRNA from 1 species